rnacentral:misc_RNA from 1 species
UAUGAAGAACGCAGCGAAAUGCGAUAAGUAGUGUGAAUUGCAGAAUUCAGUGAAUCAUCGAAUCUUUGAACGCACAUUGCGCCUUCUAGUAUUCUGGGAGGCAUGCCUGAUUGAGCGUCAUUAAACCUCUCUCAAGUAUGAUUACUUGGAUGUGAAGGAAGAGUACCUUAAACUUAAGGAGUGUUCUCCUUUGAAAUUGAUUAGCAGAUGGUAAUGUUAUUAAAUCCCUGAUGUUGUAAGAAAUAACAGUGGUUUUGUAGACUAUUAUCUAGCUUUAAAUUAUAAUUUUUAUUAUGGUUGACCUCAAAUCAGGUAAGGAUACCCGCUGAACUUAAGCAUAUCAAUAAGCGGAGGA